AAAUAUGGAAAGUGCUAAAUAAGGAAAGUUUUCUGAUAAGGAAAGUGCCAGAAAAGGAAAGCGCAAUCAACAGAUUCUUUGAAAUUCAAAUUGCAGAUUCUUCUUUCCUUAUUCAGAAGGUGAAGCCAAUUAUGGAAAGUGUCAAAUAAGGAAAGUUUUCAGAAAAGGAAAGUCCUCAAAUAAGGGAAGUGCAGAAGCAAAAGCAAAUAAGGAAAGCUCAGUCAGAAGAUUAUUUG
rnacentral:lncRNA from 1 species